UGGCUACUUACCAGCAUUAACGGAAAGGGUUGUUGACAAGAAAGUCUGCAUUCAAAAUAAGCAUCAGCUACUGGGAUGCUAGUCAUGGUGCACUGAAGUCAGCUGAUGCAAGAGGACCGGGCCACCCUUGAUAAGUGUGUCCGACUCUGAGCCCCCAGCACAGCCAAGCUGUUUGAUGAGCUCAGCCACCUGGAUUCUUGCUGGCGUCUUCAUUUCCCAUCAGAAUGUCUUCCAGCCCUG